GCUCACAAAUUAUAUUUAUUACACUUAUCUAUCAUGUAUACUAUAGGAAAAUUCAAAGGGUCUGUAAGUCUCGUUGACUUUCACUUUCGUUUUAUAACUCCCGGGUACCUGAGCGUUCUUGGAGACAAUGGAUUACUUAAGUUGUAAGCAUCGCAGUGGAAUUAUUAAACUUGUAGUUUGUUUUGAUCCCCGAUUGUUGCAAAGAAGAGGAGAAAGUGGAUUGAUAGAUGCAGGGCUGCACAAGGUACUGAAAAAGGGACAGUGCUUUGAGUGAAUGUGUUAUCCAGUUAUCCAUGUAUCUGCAAAUGAAGCAGAUCCCCCAGUUAUACUCAUGGAGAGUGUGACAACUUCCAACUUCCAAGUUGUUAAUGACAGAACUCCAUUUAAAUCAGAUGCUCCUUUCCAUCUGAUGUUUUCCAGGUUUUUGUGAAAAGUUUUCUUAAAAAUUGCACCAUUCAACCACAAAUACUAUGCCAGUGGAACUGUGAUAUCAAUCAACUGCUUAUGACACUGUUAAUUGGCAGAGAAAUUAUUUUUUUUUAUUUGGGACAAGCAAUCUGUUUCAAACAUUUUAUGCCUGCAAAUUGGUACAUGUACUUCAUGAAAUGCUUGAAGGAUGCUAAAGGCUACUGAAAUUCCAAGCCAGAUGAAAUUCAAAAGGAUUGAUACAAAAGUCAUUUGAAGUUUUCUAUUCUUAGUGAUGAGUGUUUUUCAGGAUGCCCUCUGAUAUCAUAGCUACAACUGGUCACUGUCCUUUGUUAGUUACACAUGCAGACAUCUUAUUAAGGCAGUGAUAUUAGUAGCUCGAAGUGAAUGCUUUAUUGUUUUCCUCAGAUUUAUAACCUGGAUUGAUCUCUGAUACAGUAAUUUAAAGCCAUGUCUUUUCACUGUCACAAA